rnacentral:rRNA from 1 species
GAUGAACGCUGGCGGCGUGCCUAAUACAUGCAAGUCGAACGCAUCACUUCGGUGAUGAGUGGCGAACGGGUGAGUAAUACAUAAGUAACCUAGCCUCUGGAGGGGGAUAACUAUUGGAAACGAUAGCUAAGACCGCAUAGGCAUAGGCAUCGCAUGAUGAAUAUGUUAAAUAUCCCACAGGAUAGCGAGAGGAUGGACUUAUGGCGCAUUAGCUGGUUGGUGAGGUAGAGGCUCACCAAGGCGACGAUGCGUAGCCGACCUGAGAGGGUGGACGGCCACACUGGGACUGAGACACGGCCCAGACUCCUACGGGAGGCAGCAGUAGGGAAUUUUCGGCAAUGGGCGAAAGCCUGACCGAGCAACGCCGCGUGAGGGAGGAAGUACUUCGGUAUGUAAACCUCUGUUAUAAAGGAAGAACGGCAUAUGUAGGGAAUGACAUAUGAGUGACGGUACUUUAUGAGGAAGCCACGGCUAACUACGUGCCAGCCGCCGCCGUAACAC